UACGGAGGGUGCAAGCGUUAAUCGGAAUUACUGGGCGUAAAGAGCUCGUAGGUUGUUUAGAAAGUCGGAUGUGAAAUCCCCGGGCUUAACCUGGGAACUGCAUUCGAAACUUCUAAGCUAGAGUAUGGUAGAGGGAAGUGGAAUUUCCGGUGUAGCGGUGAAAUGCGUAGAGAUCGGAAGGAACACUAGUGGCGAAGGCGACUUCCUGGACCAAUACUGACACUGAGGAGCGAAAGCGUGGGGAGCAAACAGG
rnacentral:rRNA from 1 species